GACGAACGCUGGCGGCGUGCUUAACACAUGCAAGUCGAACGGUAAGGCCCUUCGGGGUACACGAGUGGCGAACGGGUGAGUAACACGUGGGUGAUCUGCCCUGCACUUUGGGAUAAGCCUGGGAAACUGGGUCUAAUACCGGAUAGGACCGCGCACUGAUGGGGUGUGGUGGAAAGCUUUUGCGGUGUGGGAUGGGCCCGCGGCCUAUCAGCUUGUUGGUGGGGUAAUGGCCUACCAAGGCGACGACGGGUAGCCGGCCUGAGAGGGUGUCCGGCCACACUGGGACUGAGAUACGGCCCAGACUCCUACGGGAGGCAGCAUUGGGGAAUAUUGCGCAAUGGGCGCAAGCCUGAUGCAGCGACGCCGCGUGGGGGAUGACGGCCUUCGGGUUGUAAACCUCUUUCAGUAGGGACGAAGCGCAAGUGACGGUACCUACAGAAGAAGCACCGGCCAACUACGUGCCAGCCGCCGCCGUAAUAC
rnacentral:rRNA from 1 species